rnacentral:rRNA from 1 species
AUUGAACGCUGGCGGCAGGCCUAACACAUGCAAGUCGAGCGAGCGGCGGACGGGUGAGUAAUGUAUGGGGACUGCCCGAUAGAGGGGGAUAACUACUGGAAACGGUAGCUAAUACCCCAUACCAUCGGAUACCCCAUAUGGGAUUAGCUAGUAGGUGAGGUAAUGGCUCAACUAGGCGACGAUCCCUAGCUGGUCUGAGAGGAUGAUCAGCCACACUGGGACUGAGACACGGCCCAGACUCCUACGGAGGCAGCAGUGGGGAAUAUUGCACAAUGGGCGCAAGCCUGAUGCAGCCAUGCCGCGUGUAUGAAGAAGGCCCUAGGGUUGUAAAGUACUUUCAGUCGGGAGGCGUUACCGACAGAAGAAGCACCGGCUAACUCCGUGCCAGCAGCCGCGGUAAUAC